AUCCAACUGAUAAGUCUCAAAUAGGAUGAAACUCAUGUCCUGGAU
rfam:Schistosoma mansoni strain Puerto Rico chromosome W, complete genome